rnacentral:siRNA from 1 species
GCCUGCUAACUAGCUACG